rnacentral:rRNA from 1 species
UACGUCCUACGGGGGGCAGCAGUAGGGAAUCUUCCACAAUGGACGAAAGUCUGAUGGAGCAACGCCGCGUGAGUGAAGAAGGGUUUCGGCUCGUAAAGCUCUGUUGGUAGUGAAGAAAGAUAGAGGUAGUAACUGGCCUUUAUUUGACGGUAAUUUCUUAGAAAGUCACGGCUAACUACGUGCCAGCAGCCGCGGUAAUACGUAGGUGGCAAGCGUUUUCCGGAUUUAUUUGGCGUAAA